rnacentral:rRNA from 1 species
UACGAAGGGGGCUAGCGUUGCUCGGAAUUACUGGGCGUAAAGGGCGCGUAGGCGGAUGUCUAAGUUGGGGGUGAAAUCCCGGGGCUCAACCUCGGAACAGCCUUCAAUACUGGAUAUCUUGAGUUCGGGGAGAGGUGAGUGGAAUGCCGAGUGUAGAGGUGAAAUUCGUAGAUAUUCGGCGGAACACCAGUGGCGAAGGCGACUCACUGGCCCGAUACUGACGCUGAGGCGGCGAAAAGCGUGGGGAGCAAACAGGG